rnacentral:ncRNA from 1 species
AAUAAAUCAAUGAAGCGAAGAGUAGAUAUUACGUGUCAAAGAAGCGAGUCGGAAUAGUGAGAGCCGAUAUGUCAUAAAAUGUUGAAUAUGAGCGUGGAGAUGACAAGUAGUGUCAGCUAUUUGCCCGGUUAGUACCGUUAUCACUAUAAGGAUUAUUAACCAAAGCUUAGGUAGUUAAUAGUUAAAUUUGGGUGGUACCACGUUUAUUACGUCCCAGUU